CAAGGAGAAGAAAGGAGGGACUCACGGCAGGGGAAGAGGAGCUGCAGAGUCUCACCCAGAAAAGUAGCAACAAUAAUGGGAGCCUGUUUGCUGCUUAAGCCUCACAUUCCUAUGUCUCCUACCUCUACAAAUCUAAUGUAUUGUGCAAAUGAUGUUUCUGCCUCCUCUGUUGGAUAAUGGCAGCUGCAGCAUACUGCUCUUCUCUUGAUGAACCUCAGCUGCGCCUUUCUGAGAAGAAAAAGCAUCCUUCUGGCUCUGGAGGAUGGAAAUCCAGGAUCACAGCACCAGCACGGUUGCCUGUGAGCCUCCAUGCAGAGUGUCACAGACUUGUACCCUCAGUAGGCAGAGGCACUGAGGAGCUCUCUGGACCCCCUUAAUAAGCACAGAGCUCCUGGGAUGGCAACCUGACUCCCGCAGAUGGCCGAACGCGUGCCGGGGGCUCGGCUCACAGGAGGCGCUUUUGCUGCAGUGUCCGUGUGCCUGGUAUGUUGUUUCUGAAGUGGAUUCCCAGCAGAAUGGAAUUUCCUUCAUGAAGGUGGCAGUGAAAUUGAAGAGUUCUUCAGGCAGAGAUGGCUGUGUGAUUCUGAACGUGCUUCCUAUUCAUCUCCAGGAUGAGAACAAAUUUUUCGAGACAAGCCUCAUGGCUGGGGUUACCACACAAGGCAAGGUCCAUCUCAGGGAAAACAACAAAGAGAAAAUGAGCUCUUUUCUCUUUGAGGCUCCAAAAAAGGGAAUUUCCUUCUUCUUAGUGUUCCUUGCCACUCACAGCUGAUGAUUAUUCCUGGAGGCUCUGCUGACGGGUUUUCUGAGCUGAGCGCCUUCGAGUGCAGCUGGGGAAGGUUAGCCCCAAAGCUCCUGUGCUGCCUGAUGCAGGGGCCAGGUGUUUGAGUCCAAGCAAGGCAGCUUCACUUCACAGGUGCAAGUGCCUGCAGGAGGGGGAAAGAGACACCCUGCGCUGCUAACCUGGUGUCUUUCUCUAAACAGUAGAGGGCAUUUCCAGGAUAUCUUGAACAAUCUUUUCCCAUCCUCUCCAGUGAGCUAGUUCUGCUGCCCUGGCCCUAGUCUGAGAAGGGCAGACAGCUUCCCAAAUGCCCUUCCCCCAUCUCCCUGACAGCCCACUCCAGGCCUCACCUCAGCUGGGAUAGGCUUCCUCUCUGGUCUGCCUGACCUUGCUCAAAUCCAUGCUCCACACUGGAGCCCAAGUGUCCUACAGAUAAAGCUCAAAAUCCUUUCUCCAUCUCUGGCAAUGCCUGAUAAAAUACAGGACACCCAGUUAGGUUUAAAUCUCAGGUAAAGAAUGAAUAUUUUUUACUUUAAAUUGGGACAUAUUUAUACUAAAAAUCAAAAGCUGUUUAUCUGAAAUUAAACAAUAAGUACUGUGUGUCCUGUAUUUUUAAAUGCUAAAUCUGGCAAACCAGGACACUUAAUACCCUGACCCAACCUUGCUUUUACUUCUUUGUGUGUUACACACUCUCUCCAUGGUUCAGCUCCUUGUAGUUCUGCUCCAGGGACUGCUCUGUCCAGAUUCCUCAGAGCAGACUCUGUGACAAGGGCGGAGUGUAAGCACUUCAUCUUGGCGGCAGAGAAAACACCUGUAGGGAGAGGGAAAUGGCACAGGAAAAGGAACCCAGGGCUCACAGGGUGCCUGGAGCUGGAUUCCUGGGGAAAUGCAAUGGUAAAACACACUAAAAUUAUCCCACUUGAGGAGAGAAGAAACCAGGCACUUACGUAUCAACUGCUUCACUCUGUCAUUGGUUGAGGGCUGCUCUUAGGGGUGUUCUUUCUCUCUAGCUUUUUAGCAGCAUUUCUUAAAAGACAGAAAAACGGCGUCUCCGGGGAGGGUGGGGCAGGGUGUCUCCCAGGUGGCGGUGCAGGGGAGUGCCCAGAAGAACGAGGGAAAGGGCAGGCUCCAGGACGCUGGCCAGGCAGCCACAGACCUGUGCACCACACUCCUCCCACCUCUCUGCUCCACCUUGUUCUACUUAUUCUGUAGUAUUUAGAUGUCCCUUAGGGAGGAAUCCUGUCCCACCUCCACCCACCCACUCAUACAUCUGAAAUUCAAGUGCUGUCCAAUCCGUGUGCUAACAUCCUUUACAACUCUUAGUAAUUUUCUACUGCAAUGUUAAAGGAAGCUUUUCAGACAACUUCAUUGUGAGCAUGUGUCAAAAUUUUAUUUUAACUUUGCUGUAUAAAAAGGCCUAUGAGAGAUACUGGCCAAUUUAAAGAUUCUUUUUUUUAGUAAGAAAUUUUACAGUUAAAAGGAAAAAAAAGAAUGUUUGGUUAAAGACCACCAGACUCUUGUCUAAUAGUUAUCAGGAUGGCAGGUGAUUUGAAUCCCCAGAACCAAUUUUCAUCCACUAUAACUUAUAGGAAAUUUAUUUACAAUUUAAUGAGGACUAAUACAUCCUUCCAACAGGACAUGAAUUACAUCAUUCAAAAUAUGUUCUUUCUCAGAUUAGGUUUGGAACUCUUUUUUCUUUCUAAAACAGUGGUUACAGAUUUCCUUGUGUUCUGCCUCCAUCUAAGUCCUUGGAAUUGGUCAUUAUAUUUGGUUUUUGUUGCAAUUUGUACAGGUGCAGAGCCCUCAAUACAAAACUC